AACGAACGCUGGCGGCAGGCUUAACACAUGCAAGUCGAACGCCCCGCAAGGGGAGUGGCAGACGGGUGAGUAACACGUGGGAACAUGCCCAAAGGUACGGAAUAUUCUCGGGAAACUGGGAGCAAUACCGUAUGUGCCCGAAAGGGGAAAGAUUUAUCGCCUUUGGAUUGGCCCGCGUUGGAUUAGCUAGUUGGUGGGGUAAAAGCCUACCAAGGCGACGAUCCAUAGCUGGUCUGAGAGGACGACCAGCCACACUGGGACUGAGACACGGCCCAGACUCCUACGGGAGGCAGCAGUGGGGAAUCUUGGACAAUGGGCGCAAGCCUGAUCCAGCCAUGCCGCGUGAGUGAUGAAGGCCCUAGGGUUGUAAAACUCUUUCGUGGGGGGCGAUAAUGACGGUACCCCAGGAAGAAGCUCCGGCUAACUUCGUGCCAGCCGCCGCCGUAACAC
rnacentral:rRNA from 1 species